AUAACGGAGAGUUUGAUCCUGGCUCAGAACUAACGCUGGCGGCGCGUCUUAAACAUGCAAGUCGAACGGAAAGGCCCUUCGGGGUACUCGAGUGGCGAACGGGUGAGUAACACGUAGGUAAUCUACCCUCGGGUGGGGGAUAACCCUUCGAAAGGAGAGCUAAUACCGCAUAACACUACGGAGUCCACGGGCUCUGUAGUCAAAGCAGUAAUGCGCCUGUGGAUGAGCCUGCGUCCGAUUAGCUUGUUGGCGGGGUAACGGCCCACCAAGGCUCCGAUCGGUAGCCGGCCUGAGAGGGUGAACGGCCACACUGGAACUGGGACACGGUCCAGACUCCUACGGGAGGCAGCAGUUAAGAAUCUUGCGCAAUGGGGGAAACCCUGACGCAGCGACGCCGCGUGUGCUAGAAGGCUUUCGGGUUGUAAAGCACAGUAAACAGGGAAGAAGAAAGUGACGGUACCUGUCCAAAGCACCGGCUAACUACGUGCCAGCAGCCGCGGUAAU
rnacentral:rRNA from 1 species